UACGACAGGGGCUAGCGUUGUUCGGAAUUACUGGGCGUAAAGCGCACGUAGGCGGCCUGCCAAGUUAGGGGUGAAAGCCCAGAGCUCAACUCUGGAAUUGCCUCUAAAACUGGUAAGCUCGAGGAUGUGAGAGGUGAGUGGAAUUCCGAGUGUAGAGCUGAAAUUCGUAGAUAUUCGGAAGAACACUGGUGGACUAGGCGACUCUCUGUCACAUUUCUGACGCUGAGGUGCGAGAGUGUGGGGAGCAAACAGG
rnacentral:rRNA from 1 species